rnacentral:lncRNA from 1 species
UCCAAUACAGAGCCAAUGGAGUCUUUUUCGUAAUCAUAUUUGCCGCAUUUCAUAAACCAGCCUUUACAAGUAUCCCAGCCAUGUACUCAACUCUAUCACAGCCCUCUUGACAUUCAUUUCCUACCCUUCAUGCUUAGAAGCAUUUCUUUCCGUCCAAAGGACCCAAAAUAUGAAGACUGGAAGAAGGUUAAAGCAAUUAUCUGGUUCAGGGGACUUAGCAUACAAGCUCUAGAAUCCGAGACUAAACUUCUGAAAUUUGAAG